AUACCUGAAUUAAAAAUAAUCAAAUCUGUAUUUAUUAUUUACUGAAUUACUUUGGAAGUCUUUUAUAAGCACUGUGGAAACUAAUGGCAUGUAGUAGUGAUUUGCUUUUCAAACAAGCAUAUAGAAUUAACAUAUUUAACAAGAUGACAUUUUAAACUUGCCCAUGUCUGCUGCAUAGCUAAGUACCAGGUUUUUAAGUUGAGGGUGGUUUUAGGGAUGUCAUCAUCCUGAUAUGAUAAGACUUAGGCUUCAACAGUGUGAAUAAUUUGACCUCUCUUCUGCGUUUGUGAGUGCCACUUAACUUACGGAUUCUUUCUUAUCUAAGCAAAUAAAUGGAACCUGUCUCCUACAAGGUAAAGGAAGUGGAAACAAAUUACUACCAAUGAAUUAGCUGUGUUAAUUUCUAGCACUGACAAGAGGCCUCCCUAGACUGCUGCCACUGGGUUCCAUCCAACUAAAAGCUGAGGGUAUAGACCGUGUGCUAUAUCCUGCAACAAUUGACUGCCUUACCUGGUCAAAGAAAAGACAAUUAUUCAUGCCCAGGGCCAAGUGACCCUUCUGUCCCUCCCCUCGUCCUAAAAAGAGAUCCUGUUCUCCAUUCAUCGUAAGAAAACAAGGAUCAGCAAUUUAACCCUUCUAAAAGUAAUUGGCUGAGGCUGAGAGGCCAGACUUCCUCUCUUUCUGUAAACCAGAGGUGAAAGCAGUACGCUUGAGUGUGCAGGCCCCACCAGAGAGGGAAUCCGGGGAUACCAGAGCUCAAGACUUAGCGUUGGACUGCAGGGGUUCACCCAAAACUUUUACUGGAAAACUCAAGAGCAUUGUCAAUGAAGUAGUAUAGAGAUUCAGAGUGAGGACCCUGGAAUCAGACCAUCUGGCUUUGAAAUCUAUCUCCACCGCUUCUAGCUGUCCGACUCUGGCAAAGGCAUUUCACCUCUCCAUGCUUUAGUGUCCACAUUUUUAAAUUUGGAAAAUGGCAAUUAUGAAAAUGGUAUAGUUUUAAUUCACAUUUUUCUUUUUGUGAAUGAGGUUUAAAUUUAUGGUUCAACCUUGGAUAUUCCUUUUGAAUUAAAUUAGACUGUGCCCUUUGAAUUCUCAUGAUUUUAGGAAAUAUGAAGUCAUGUUUAGACUGUUUAGAAGGUAGGCCGUAAGGUAGGACUCUCCAGCUACCCUGAUUGUGUCUAGAUGUCAAGGUUGACAGGCAACCAGAGAAUGUGUUUAAAGUGUGUUAUUCUCUUAGAGUAAGCCUAAUAUUUAUCUAUGAAUUGACUGAAUCUUGUAACUAUGAAUUGACUGAAUCUUGUAACUAUGAAUUUGUAUUUUCUUCUGAUAAUUUAUAUAUCCUUAGCCUACCAAUUUCAUUAAACUUUAAAAUGCAAAAUAUUUUCUUUUUCCUGUGUAAGUUCUUUCAAUUAUGACUAAAGGUAAUACUUUUUCGUUGUGGUAUAUGUGAAAUUAUCCUUCUAUUUCCAUGACAUGAAGAACAAAGCAAAGGAGGGCUUCUCUUUUCAAAAAUUGUCCUCUGGAUAUUAGGCUAUCUGCUGAAUUCUUUUCUAUAUUAAUGGAUGUAUAGAUGCCAAUUGGUGAAUGCAUUCAUAUAGGCAUUCAGCAUUCAAAUACUAUUCAUUGAGUGCCUACUUACUAUGUGCCUGGUACUGUUCUAGGCACCUACCAUUAUCUGUGAUUGCUCAGCAAAGAUAGACGUUCAGGCAUUAAUCAAACGUACCUGUAUUGUGUGCAAAUAGAAGGGAAUAUGGAAACCCUGG